UGACGUCAAGUCCUCACUGGCCUUAUGCCCAGGGCUACACACGUGCUACAAUGGGCGGUACAAAGAGAAGCAACCUCGCAGGGUGAGCAAAUCUCAAAAAGCCGUUCUCAGUUCGGAUUGAAGUCUGCAACUCGACUUCAUGAAGUCGGAAUCGCUAGUAAUCGCGGAUCAGCAUGCCGCGGUGAAUACGUUCCCGGGCCUU
rnacentral:rRNA from 1 species